CCCUCAGAGUUUCCCACUGCUGCUGUCAUUGGAGCUGUUGUUCUGCUGCUGAUCUUAGCUGCCUGUAUUACUGGAUACUUCAUCCGGAGGAGAGACAAUGGGUUGAUCUAGCUAAUAACAGGGAGCAGCAGCGAACAUUAGAAGAGGAGACUGAACUUCACUGAAUGAGGAAACAAAUAAAAUCACCACAUUUUCCCAGGCGGGAUUUUCUCCUUCAGCAAAGUGCCUGGAGAGAACUGAAGCUGUUGACUGGGCUUGUGCUCUAUGUCACUACAAAUGACAUAGAGCCCAUUUUAACUGUCAGAGCUGGUGGCUGUCUCUGGUGGAUCAGGAAACAGGUGACACCACUUCCAGCAAACUGUUUGGCCGUCAGUCCCAGUGAAUGGGACUCUGACCCACCAGCCUGU